rnacentral:miRNA from 1 species
GGCAACCCCGAUGAUGUCUUGCGGGCACUCUCCUGUCCAAUCUAACCCGGUGGAAAGUGCUCACAAGACAUCCCCGGUGGGCC